rnacentral:lncRNA from 1 species
GGCCGGUCGAAACCCGACCCCAUGGCGAAGCCAGGCAGCCGGCGAGGGGCAGUCUCCCGCUCUGGGGUCCUUUAGUAAAUCCAGACCCGACCUCCCUGUGGUCAGGGCUGUGACUGAGGUGGUCCUGUGGGGGAAGGGGGCUUCCCGCCUGCACCAGGCCUGCAAGCAUUUAAGUGGCAACCGGUUGGGGAUCAGAAAACGGGCUCAGAGAGGUCAAGGUGACACUGGCCAGCAAAUGUCACUACACUGUGCAGCCUGUUCCUGCUUGCCAGGAAAAAAACAAGCGUCAAAGGAUGGAGACUCCUAGAAUUCAAAACACUCAUCCAGCUUAUUUUAUGAAGUUUCUGGAGAUGGGGAGGAUUCAGAAUUCCCAUUUCUCAUCUUAGCUGCCCAGACAAGGGGAGAAAAUUUGGACCCAUCCAUCUCAAUUUUCUUCAACUGGCCGGGCACGGUGGCUCAUGCCUGUAAUUCCAGCACUUUGGGAGGCAAAGGAGGGCGGAUCGCCUGAGGUCAGGAGUUCGAGACCAGCCUGGCCAACAUGGCAAACCCCUUCUCUACUAAAAGUACAAAAAUUUGCCAGGUGUGGUGGCACAUGCCUGUAUCUACUCAGGAGGCUAAGGCAGGAGAAUCACUUGAACCCAGGAGGCGGAGGUUGUAUGUAGUGAGCCGAGAUUGCACCACUGCACUACAGCCUGGGUGACAAAGCAAGACUCUAUCUCCCAAAAAAAAAAAAAAAAAAAUCAAUUUUCUUCAACCACUCAAGAUAAUCUGAAAAUCUCAACGGCGAUAGGAAAAUACAAUGCAAG